CCAGAGAUCAAACCCGAGUCCUCAUGGAUGCUAAUUGGGUUUGUUACUGCUGAGCCACAACGGGAACUCCUCUGUACAUCUAUUUAAUGCAACCUCGUACAUCUAUUUUAUGCAAUCUGUUUUAUUCACUGCCCAAUAAGAGGUGAUUGUCAGGAACUGUCCAUCUGCCAUAGAUAGCUCUAAACUUUGUUUAUUUCUUGGCAGAUGUGAAAUUUGGUGUGCAGUAUUCUCUGGGAGGAUUCUCUUAGAAUUCACAUGGGAGUGUUUCAGUACGCAGUGUAGUCCCAGCUUUAAGAGUGAACACCCUGUAGAAUCUAGAUUCAAAGGCUUUUAAUAAGGCAAACUUGGAUAAAUGAGGGGAAAAUGAAACUUUAAAUAAAAAAUUUCCUUUUUCCGUAAAAAGCAGUAAUAAUUAGCAUGCAAAGUCCAAUUCUGCUAGACCGACAGAAUCUAGAAUGGUGGUAUUAGGAUUCAGUUUGUUUAGUCAUAAGCAAUGGAGAAAAUCUCAAUGACCACUUGGCACAACUGGGUUCAACUGUAACUUUGACUGACUGCAUUAAAAAAAAAAAAAUCCAUUUAGGGUCGUAGACAUAGGCUCUAUGGGACUAAAAUAACUUGGGGGGUGGGGAGGGGACACCUGCCUUGCAAGGUAUCUAUAAUCCUGAAGUUACAUCCGUUUUGGAAAUGUGCUUCUUUAUUGCUGCAUUUACCAACAUAGAUUAUUUAAUCAGCAGGUACAGACUGUCUAUCAUGAACAGAAUAAUAGAUGUUUGGAGGAAUACAAAAGAACUAGAAAAUGGGGCAUUUGCCCCCAAGGACCUUAUGCUACUGGAAAAUACACAAGUGAAAUAACUGUUAUUGGACAAAAUGGCCAGAAGGAUUGAGUAGGGAGGCAGGGAAGCAGAGUGAACAGAAUGAGGGAUGGUUGCUCAUGAUGGCUUUUUGGAUGAUGUUGGCCUGAUUCAUACUCCAGCAUUAGGGAGGGGCUAGGAGGAGGCAGAUCUGGGCAAUGGAGAGAAAAAUCUCAGAAUUCAAGCACAGCAAGGAGAACAUUCGGGGACAAUAGGUGGCUGCUGCAGUGGAAGGGUAGGGAAGGCCUGAGGAUUAGUUUGUCUGAAGCUGCGCGAGGGGAACUACGAGAAAUAAAGUGAGUGUGUGUGAUGGAGAAGACUGAGGUCAGUCAUGAGUAAAUGAUUCUCACGGAACCGAAACAUCUUCUCCAAGGUGCUAAUAUUCUUAACAUUUCCCUGCUCCGGGUAUGGGAAUUAUGAGUCCCCAUAAUUAGCAUGACUACGUCAUUUAUUACCUAAAUGGACAAUUUUGAGAGUGAAAAGUGGCUCUCCUGAUGAUUACACACUUGCAUUACCUCAGGCAGACUGGGGCACCCUGCAGGCUAUUUUUGCAUAGGCUGCUCUUUCUACAUUUUCCCCCAAAGAGAAAAGGCUGAGAGGCUUGUGUGUUGGGUGGGGGAGGAUGGAGGAGAAGGAGAAAGGAAAGUGCAAGAGUAUUUGCUGGGCAGAAUUUCUAGCUGUUGAGAGAGGAAAUUACUCUCUUAGCUCCUAUGCUCCACUCAUCUCUGGACUACCCAGUACCUGGAUCCUCAGGGUAAAAAGAUUAAAUCCAGGCAGAAUAGCGGAGUGGGACAAAGCUUUGCCUUUGCAGCCAAGAAAAACUGGAAUUGACUGUGGACUCCAUCACUGACUCAUUAUCCAAACUUGGGUAAAUCAUUUUUAACCUAUUUGAGCUUCUAUUUCCAGAUAUUGGUAUUGUCAUCAUAACUUCACAGGCUUGCAGUGAAGGUCAGAUCCUGGAAUUACGUGUGGAAAAGUGUUUCUGAUGCCUUAGACCAAUGUGUGACAGUCAUCAUUGGAUAUCUACCCAAAAGCCAUUCUUCCCUCCCUUUGUUAACAUGUCACCCCAGCCCCCCCCCCCCCCCCCCAGGCAUUGGAAAGCUCUGUGGUCAGUGUUGCAAACCCAUCUUGAUAAUUCCAUUCCUUUUAUCAGAGACCGAUUCAAGCAUGGAUGUGUAAUCCAACCCUGGCCAAUGGGACAAAAGAGAAGACUGCUGGAGGAAUUGGGGGGAAAAGAAUUCCUUGCUUUUAGAAAGAAACUCAAGGCAGGACUUGUCCUUAUUUCUUCCACUUGAUAACCAGUGUAUUGGGAGAGAGAAGGUUUAGUUUAGCGUGUACUCUCUAUACAAGGGACAGAAAAGCAGAAAAGAAAAAUAACCCAAGGCAUUUCAGAAGAGGCUACUGUGACUACACAAACUAAAGAUCUUUUAAAGCUGCUAACUGGGGCUGUUUUAAGCUGGUGAAUCUGUAAUCCUGUGGACUGAAGAAGUCGUGGGAAACCUUGUGGAAGGAAAGAAGGUAGAAGCUCAGGCUAUUGGUGCAAAUGAAGCUUUGGAUUACCUGUGGAUUUUGAUCAUGUCUUCCAUUCCUGACCCUCUCAACAGCAUGGAUAAUUCUGUCUCUGAAUAUAUGCGUGGCCACAAGUGAGUGAUGAAAGCACAUCUACUUUUCACGGAACAGUUCCAGAAGCAUCACGCUAAGGUUCCUGUCUCUGCUGGUGUGCUGAUCCCGAGCCCCACAGAUCCUUCAUUGAUUGUAAUGCACGAUAAAGAUGAUAUAUAUGAAAACACCUAUCAUUUAGUCAGCAGAAUUCACAACCAGUCUGCUGUUUCUAUUUGGCAAUGGAGAGGAUUGAGGCAACAAUCCUGGAUAAUUCAAACCAAAGACGUGUCUUUCACCUGGGUUUUGCCUCACAAAGCUGGUAAGUGGAAUGCACAUGUUACCCCUGAUAUUUUAAGUCAAGAAACAUGACCGGUAGGAAUGCAUGUGUAGUUAUUGUCUGAUGAAUGAUGGGAUUUCUGCUGGGUCUUCACAGGGUAAGUCUGAGACACAAUUUACAUCACAGAUUAUGAACUGUGAACAUGGGGUCCCCUGGACAUGACUGUGGCAUAAGAGAGUGUGUCUGAGCAAGUUUUAGCCUCUGCUGCCACUUCGGUAAUGCAGGAGAUUAUGGCUAUUUUCAUCGCUAAAAGAAAACAACCCAAUAAUGGUUAAAAAGUAACUCCUCUCUGAUGGAAUGAUGUGAAUUUUUCAGGAAUGGGGACCAGUUGGAGGGCACUUAAGAAUGUCUAACAACAUUUAUGUUUUAUGUACAUCAAUUUGGGCAACACAGGGGUAGAGAGGCAGAGAAGGAAGGGUUUUGAUCUGUGUACUCUUCAGCCUGGAAAGAGAGUGGGUGGGGGCCAAGGAGGGGAGGAUUUGGCUAGAAGGUGUCCAGAAGAAGGAAGUGGGGACAGAGGUCAUUAACUGGAAAUAUGGCAGCUUUUCCAUUUUCCUGACUGCUGUUGCCUCUAAAAUCAGAGCUACCUAACAGGAUUUGUGUAAUGCUAGCUGUGACUUUCUACAUCCAAAAGGGCAUGCAGUGACACCACUUUGUGCCUGAUGGUAGAUUCAGGUACUAGUUUUACAUUUUACAAAGGCUAAGAUAUAAGAAUUCAAAAUGUUCUUUUUUCUUAGAGAUGCUUUACAUCUAAAAUUACAAGCAUCACAUUCUUUAGACUUUUAAGGCAAGAUAAUCAUGAUAAAACUAUA